AUGUCACAUAUUUUGUCUUUAGAUAAUUUUAUGUAUUCCAAAAUCUAAAUGUCCAAAUGCUUUCUUGUAGAUAAUGAUAUUCAAUGUGGUUAUCCUUCACAUGAAACGCGCGCGCGCGCGCACACACAUGCAAUUUACAUGAAAAAAACAUAAUUGGAAUUUGAUUUGCAGUAUGUUCGAUCAAAUGCAUAUAGUUAUAAACCACUGGCAGAGGCUUCAGAUGAAGACCUCAUUGAAGUUGUCGCUACAAAUUUUCUUGGAUUGAUGAUCUGUUGCCGAGAGGCAAUAAAGAUGAUGUUGAACCAGCCUCGGGGGGGGC